rnacentral:rRNA from 1 species
GUCGAGAAUCUUCCGCAAUGGACGAAAGUCUGACGGAGCGACGCCGCGUGGUGGAUGAAGCACUUUGGUGCGUAAACACCUUUUAUGAGGGAGGAAGUUUAUUGACGUUACCUCAUGAAUAAGGGGCUCCCAACUCUGUGCCAGCAGGAGCGGUAAUACAGAGGCCCCGAGCAUUAUCCGGAUUCACUGGGCGUAAAGGGUGCGUAGGCGGUGUUAUUAGUCGGGUGUUAAAUCCUGGGGCUCAACCUCAGAAUCGCAUUCGAAACGGUAACACUAGAAGAAGUCAGAGGUAAGCAGAACUCUCGGUGUAGGGGUGAAAUCCGUUGAUAUCGAGGGGAAUACCAAAUGCGAAGGCAGCUUACUGGGACUUUCUUGACGCUGAGGCACGAAAGCGUGGGUAGCGAACGGGAUUAGAAACCCCGGUAGUCC